AGUGAACGCUGGCGGUAGGCCUAACACAUGCAAGUCGAACGGCAGCACAGUAAGAGCUUGCUCUUACGGGUGGCGAGUGGCGGACGGGUGAGGAAUACAUCGGAAUCUACUUUUUCGUGGGGGAUAACGUAGGGAAACUUACGCUAAUACCGCAUACGACCUACGGGUGAAAGCAGGGGAUCUUCGGACCUUGCGCGAUUGAAUGAGCCGAUGUCGGAUUAGCUAGUUGGCGGGGUAAAGGCCCACCAAGGCGACGAUCCGUAGCUGGUCUGAGAGGAUGAUCCGCCACACUGGAACUGAGACACGGUCCAGACUCCUACGGGAGGCAGCAGUGGGGAAUAUUGGACAAUGGGCGCAAGCCUGAUCCAGCCAUACCGCGUGGGUGAAGAAGGCCUUCGGGUUGUAAAGCCCUUUUGUUGGGAAAGAAAAGCAGCAGGUUAAUACCCCGCUGUUCUGACGGUACCCAAAGAAUAAGCACCGGCUAACUUCGUGC
rnacentral:rRNA from 1 species